rnacentral:rRNA from 1 species
AGGGUUCGAUUCUGGCUCAGAUUGAACGCUGGCGGCAGGCCUAACACAUGCAAGUCGAGCGCGAAAGCACUUCGGUGUGAGUAAAGCGGCGGACGGGUGAGUAACGCGUAGGAAUCUACCUAGUAGUGGGGGACAACUCGGGGAAACUCGAGCUAAUACCGCAUACGCCCUACGGGGGAAAGCGGGGGACCUUCGGGCCUCGUGCUAUUAGAUGAGCCUGCGUUGGAUUAGCUAGUUGGUGGGGUAAUGGCCUACCAAGGCGACGAUCCAUAGCUGGUCUGAGAGGAUGAUCAGCCACACCGGGACUGAGACACGGCCCGGACUCCUACGGGAGGCAGCAGUGGGGAAUAUUGCGCAAUGGGCGAAAGCCUGACGCAGCCAUGCCGCGUGUGUGAAGAAGGCCUUCGGGUUGUAAAGCACUUUCAAUUGGGAGGAAAGGUUCACGGUUAAUAACCGUGAGCUGUGACGUUACCUUUAGAAGAAGCACCGGCUAACUCCGUGCCAGCCGCCGCGGUAAUUC